UCGCCGGGUGACCGUGCGCGCCGCGGAGGAGGCUGUGGAGGCCGCUCCUGAGGCGUUCGAGGAGUCCAUGGAGUCGGGUCCUCGUGGCCGUCGCAGCUCUGUGGAGAAGGGCAUGGAGCUGAAGCACUUCCUGCCUCUGCCCAAGCCGGCCCACCUUGUGUUCAUUAAGCCCACCGUGGCCGUCGUCGCGGGCACUGCUAGCCGCAGCUCCGUGGGCGUUAAGAUGUCCGCUGGCGACCAGCAACUGGAGCGCUACGUGGUCGAGUACUUCGCUCGCAGCGUCAAGUAAAUGGUGGAAUUUUCAUGUGGGUAGCCAAGAUACGCCCUGGAGCGUGGCC
rnacentral:lncRNA from 1 species